UGGAAGUUUCACAGAGUUUUCACUUUUUGAGUGUCUCUUUCAUAAUUCGAUUAUGGAAAGGUUGUUAUAGUGAUGACAGGUUUUUGUUUUUACUGAAGGUGUGAUAGUUCUCUCUCGGGUUUUUAGCCCUCACUUUGACAUCCUGACACUACUCAAGAACUGUUUCCCCAGCAGCUUGAGGGGUGGAGAAAUGCAGAAGUAUCCCACAGAGCGUACUCUACUGUCCAGUAUACAUAGCAAUACCAUUUUGUUAUGUGGUAACAAACAUUUAGUAUGGUGUGACAAUAUGCUUAAAAAACAGGUUGUGGCAGCAACUAUAAAGAAAACUUAAUUGAGGAAAGACAAGGAAAAGUUCCCCUGAGUUUUUAUGAUUUUGUUUUGAUUAAAGAAAGCCACCAUGGAACCGUGAAACCAGGUAUGCCAAAAUAGUCAGCUUUCUUUCUACCCACUCUAGAAUAGUCUGGAAAGUCUCUGUUACUGAGGAAGCUUGCAAACCACAUCUCUGUUACAGAUGAAGAUGCAGCUCUACUGGACUUGUUUCUCCAUCAAUUGUUUCUCCAUCUCCAGAUAUUUUGUUAUUUUCGAAAGUCCUGAAAGAAAUGGUAGAAUGGCCAAAGUUCAUACCAGAAAGUGUUUAUCCUCUAGUGGAUGUGUACAUCUCUACCUUGGUUUGCCUCCCAUGUAGACUAUUUAUAGUCAUCCAUUGGAUUUUCAUUAGCGGUAUAAUUGAUCUUUAUUCUGCUUUUGAAGUUUGUACACACCUGUCCUACAGGUUAGAGGUGAACUCAGUUUUAUCCCUCUGGCUACAGAUAGAUCUUAGUGCCUUAUUAGAUGUCUAUCCAAGUAGGUGGAGCUCUGUGUCAGACUGACAGCAGGUGAUUAGUAAGGCAGUCGUGGCAGUGUAUGCUCAGGCUCAUGCCUGACAUGUUGUAAGUUCGCUAUGUUGCUCCAGCAAUAAGGUUCUCGGGAGGUCUGUUAAACACCAUUAAAAAAAAAAAACUUGAUUUAAUUAGGAGACUAAAUUAUAAAGAUUAAUUUGAUAACUAAUUAUCACAAGUACAAAAUAGUAGAUUAGUAAUAUAGUAAGAUAAGUGAACAUUACCAACGAGUUAUGAUUUAAAUGACCAAUUUUGCAUAUAGUAUUGCUGUAAUUCUUGUGUUUUAUCUUCAGAUAAUAGAUGUGGAAACUAAAGAAAGAUUUACUUAUUUUAUACUUUAAAUAGCCAAAAAAAAAAAAACCUUCUGUCAUUUAGCUUUUUAUGAUCAAGAAUCUUGUUUUGUGUGAAAUCAUUAUUCACGUCUUAUUACAGACUUUAGUGGUCCUUGUAUUGUUUUGGUUGAAAAAGACAUCUAAGCACAACAGUUGCAAAUUGUCAGUGACUGUAUGUAGUAAUACAGUCCUUCAAAAUCAAUUUGAUCUCAGUUCAUGAAGAAAUUAAAUUGAAAUAAAAAGGAUUUAAAAUAAUUGCAGAAUUCCCUAUACGGAGUUGGACUAGAUGAUCUCAAGAGGUGCUUUCCAGCCUAAACAGGUGACUCUGUACAGUUACAAAAAUGAAAUAGCAAGUUUUAUUAGCAUUCUAUUAUUUAUAUCUAUAAUUUCAGAUUUUUUGCAAUGUUAUUUGUUAGUGGAAUUUUAUGUAUAAAUGUAGACAGCAUGAAGUCCAACUUGUAUAACAGCAUGACUGUAUAUGCAAAUAGAUAUAACAUGCUUCAAGCUAGAAUGUGACCUUUAUUUUUCUCAUUAAUUGUCACAUUGCCUAGAAUGGCUUUUCAUACAACCUACCUGUCACUUUACCAAAAAGAGGGGAGGGAAGGGGGUCCAUACGUCAGUGUGAAUGACAAACAAGUAGAGACGCAUUUGGAAAAAUCUGUCUAGGUUCUUCUGAAACAUGAAGUAUUUUGCUCUCCCCUGGAAAAAUUACAUGACAGAACAAAAUUAAGAAGAAAGCACACACAUCCUUCGCAACGUUGCCUUAGCCAAGCUAGUCUGUUGGGUCAUGCGCGAAAAACAGCCAAGCCCUAGGACUGAGAUUGUAUUGACAAGAACAAGAUGAAUGGCCCCCUGGAGACUACAGGUCUCAACCAUUAGCUGGGGAUUUUCAUCACCAGUGAACAACAGCUUGCAUGCCACACUUGCAAAAAUCUGCAUGGCUGUCCAGAAUGUGACUUGUCACUCACGUCGCUAUUGACACUGCUGAAACACAACACCUCAUGGGUCUGAAACACCUCACUGUGCUCACACCCACUGUUUGGUCUCCGUAAACAUUCAGCAAGCAUUAAUGAAUGUCAAAGGGUGCCAUUUUUUCUACACAGAGGAAUUCAGUUCUAUGCCUUUGCUUCAUAGGCACUUCCACUACAAACACCGUUUUUAUCAGAUUGCCCUUCUGCUGCCAUCUGUCACACAGUAACAAAACCUAAUAACGUUGCAAGGAAGGUUCAACCUCUACUGCCGUACCACCAGCACAAUAAACUGGGAGGCAUUACUUUCGGAGCAGCUAUUAUAACAUGCCUGGAUUUCAUAAAACAUUGCCCUAAUAAAUAUAUUCAUGUUUUUGCUGUAUUUCAUAUCAGAGCUGUUCAGUUUUGCAUGUAAUUAAAUCCAAUAAAGCUAUCUGUAUCUUA
rnacentral:lncRNA from 1 species